rnacentral:lncRNA from 1 species
AAAAGGAAAGAAAAAAAAAGGGCUUUAAGCCUUAGAGAAACAGAACAGAACCCACGUUUCUUCAAAAAAGGAAAAGACUGUUGCCUGCCUCAAACGAAAAACAGAACACUGAGUUUUAUUCACUCGUGAACUAGAGCACAGAGGCAAUGGAAAAUCCUAGGGUUCUUCAUAACUCGCUUAUUUUUGAACUCAGGUAUGUAAAAUCCCAUAUUGUCAAUUACCCAAUAGUAAUAAUAGGUAAGAAUUGAAUAGCUAGUUCCCUUCUUCCUCUAUAUCAUCAAUGAAUUUCAUAAUUAGGGGUAAUACUUUAAAAUUAAUUAAAACGCACUGGUUGUUGUAGAAUCGAAUAUUUGACUGGAGUCAAUUGGACUGGGGCUACUUAUUGGCUCGAGAAGUUUUGAGGUGAGUUGAUAUAACCCUUUACUAAAGUGGUUUAACUCACAAAAGCACGCAUACAAAGUGUUUGAUGAAUUGCUUAAAAGAGUUAUCUUUAUUUAAUUAAAGCGAGUGAGUACCCAUUAAUUUAGAAUGAUUCUAGCAAAAGUUUAGAGGAUCCAUAUAAUAUAUAUGCUGAAAUUGUUUAAGAUUUUUUGCGUUAUUUUUAUAUGCUAAUUUCAUAUUGAAACUUUAUGGAGAAGAAAGAAUCUUUAGAAAUAUCCUUCUAUGCUUAUUUCAUUCUUAUGUCAUCCUUUACAUAUAGGGACACCAUUAUGAGCAUGUGCAUAAUGUUCUAUAAAGAAAAGAUUUAGACUUGAAAAGUCACAAGAAGAAGUUUUAGAAAGAAAAGAUUUUUUUGGGAGUAUCCUUUAUUCUGAGAAGGGGUCAUCGUCCAAGCCGAGAUAUGUUUAUUUCAUCCUUAUGUCAUCCUUUACAUUUAAGGACACAAUUAUGCGCAUGCACAUAAUAUUCUAUAAAGAAAAGAUUUGAACUUGAAAAGUCACAAGAAGAAGUUUUAGAAAGAAAAUAUUUUGUUGGGAGUAUCCUUUAUUCUGAGAAGGGGUCAUCGUCCAGGCCGAGGGUCCUGACCAAGGCGUUGACUUCCUGAAACUACAUAUGCCAAAAUAGGGAGCAUACGAGCCAAGGGUCUCGUUGCUGAGAACUCACUUAGCCAUGCUAAGGUAUGAUACACGAGCGCUGAGAACCAUGAAAUGAGUGGCACCUUGUGGAUUGGGCCUAUUCGAUCAGGUUGGGAUCGAACCCGUGCCAAUCACACGGUGACUGAGACAAAAUUAAGUCAGGAUAGUGGGAACUCCGAAAGUAUAAAGUGAAGUAUUUUUUUAAAUAAAGAAAAAAGAAAAGAUUUUUUUUACAAUAUUCAUAAAUUGGUAUUAUGCAAUUAUUAUAGAAUUAUUCUUAUAAGCCUUAUUAUUUACAUGCAUCUAGAAGUUUUGCUCCUAAUGUAUAUGUUAUUGAAGUUACUCCCCCUAUUGUUGAGACUCACUUAGUAUAAUGGAUGGUAUUGAUAUUCUCUUUUGGGAACCUACGUUGGUCUGCGGUACAACAUAGUAACCGAAUUUGCAGGCGAGCAGGCUACGAGUUAGGAUUUCUUUCCCUUCCAGUGAUAUUGGUGAGCUCCGCUUUUGUUCGUGGAGUAUUCUUAGAGUCAUUUUCAUUUUAGCUAUUUCUUUGUUUAUUUAGAGAACUGCCUAGGGAAUCUCAUGUCCUGAGCAGUGCGCCAGUUUAUCAGUAGAGGCUUCAUAGACAUAGUCAUUGGGUUGAGAUUCAGAUGUAAUUUUUUUAUAACUUAGCA